AUGCUCAAAAUAGAUUUGGCUAAAGCUUUCGACAGGUUAGAAUGGCACUUCAUCACCUCGGCUUUACAACGUAAAGGGUUGCAUGGCCAUUUCAUAAAGCUUAUCCAUGCCUGUAUCUCCUCGCCGACUUUUUCUGUUAACAUAAAUGGACAAUCUUUUGAGCACUUUAAAAGUAGUCGAGGUAUCAGGCAGGGGUGUCCCCUCUCUCCUUUGCUAUUUGUGCUUGCAGUGAAUGAACUAUCGUUGGCACUUCAGGAUGCACUUCAAUCCAACCACCUGGCAGGUAUCUCACUUGGACCGGGAUGCCCUCCUAUCCACUAUUUAAUGUUUGCCGAUGAUUUGUUGGUUUGUGGAAAAGCUAAUGUACAGGAGGCAUCUACUAUCUCCAAUAUUUUACAUCAGUUUUGUCAGCAUUCGGGUCAGCUCCCCAAUUGGAACAAAUCUGCCAUUCUUUUUAGUAAACAUGUGUCUUUGCAGGCUAAACAAGAUCUCAAGCAAUUUUUUCAGGUGCCAGACUUGGAUGCCAACACCAUUCAUCUUGGUCAUCCACUCAUCCUGCCUGCAAAGGAGAGAUCUGCAGCCUACAACUUUGUUUAUGAUAAAUUCAAAUCCAAACUUUCAGCUUACAAGGCGAACAGACUCUCCCAUGCUGCAAGACUCACUCUUAUAUGUCUAAUAUUCUUUUUUCUAAGAAGUUCCUAG
rnacentral:rRNA from 1 species